UACGAAGGGGGCUAGCGUUGCUCGGAAUCACUGGGCGUAAAGGGUGCGUAGGCGGGUCUUUAAGUCAGGGGUGAAAUCCUGGAGCUCAACUCCAGAACUGCCUUUGAUACUGAGGGUCUUGAGUUCGGGAGAGGUGAGUGGAACUGCGAGUGUAGAGGUGAAAUUCGUAGAUAUUCGCAAGAACACCAGUGGCGAAGGCGGCUCACUGGCCCGAUACUGACGCUGAGGUGCGAAAGCGUGGGGAGCAAACAGG
rnacentral:rRNA from 1 species